UACGUAGGGUGCAAGCGUUACUCGGAAUUACUGGGCGUAAAGCGUGCGCAGGCGGUUCGGAAAGAGAGGUGUGAAAUCCCAGGGCUUAACCUUGGAACUGCACUUCUAACUACCGGGCUAGAGUACGGCAGAGGGGGGUAGAAUUCCACGUGUAGCAGUGAAAUGCGUAGAGAUGUGGAGGAAUACCGAUGGCGAAGGCAGCCCCCUGGGAUGAUACUGACGCUCAUGCACGAAAGCGUGGGGAGCAAACAGG
rnacentral:rRNA from 1 species